GUGGUGGUGCUUUCUGUUGUUGUAGUAUAUAUUGUGGUGCUGUCUGUUGUCAUUGUUGUCUCUGCUGUUGUACUUUCUGGUGUUGUGGUACCGGAGGUUGUACUUUCUGUUGUUAUCUCAGCUGUGGUGCUUUCAGUUGUUGUGAUUUCUGGUGUUGUGGUAGCUGUGGUGGUGCUUUCUGUUGUUGUAGUAGUGUCUGUUGUGGUGCUUUCUGUAGUUGUGGUAUCUUCUAUAGCUGUGGUUUCCAUUGUUGUAAUUUCUGAAGUUGUGGUACCAGUGGUGCUGCUUUCUGUUGUUGUGGUCAUUAUGGUAGUACUUUCUGUAGUUGUGGUGUCUUCUGUUGUUGUGAUCUCAGUUGUGGUGGCACUUUCUGUUGUAGUAUCUGUUGUGGUGCUUUCUGUUGUUGUGGUUUCGGUUAAUGUAGUGUCUGCUGUUGUACUUUCUGGUGUUGUGAUUCCAGAGGUUGUACUUUCUGUUGUUGUCUCAGUUGUGGUGCUGUCUGUUGUUAUUGAAAUUUCUGCUGUUGUACUUUCUAAAGUUGUGGUACCGGUGGUGGUGCUUUGUGUUGUUGUAGAAUCCAUUGUGGUGCUGUCUGUUGUUAUUGUUGUCUCUGCUGUUGUACUUUCUGGUGUUGUGGUACCGGAGGUUGUACUUUCUGUUGUGGUGCCUGUGGUUGUACUUUCUGUUGUUGUCUCAGUUGUGGUGCUUUCAGUUGUUAUUGAAAUUUCUGCUGUUGUACUUUCUAAAGUUGUGGUACCGGUGGUGGUGCUUUGUGUUGUUGUAGAUUCCAUUGUGGUGCUGUCUGUUGUUAUUGUUGUCUCUGCUGUUGUACUUUCUGGUGUUGUGGUACCGGAGGUUGUACUUUCUGUUGUGGUGCCUGUGGUUGUACUUUCUGUUGUUGUCUCAAUUGUGGUGCUUUCAGUUGUUGUUGAAGUUUCUGCUGUUGUACUUUCUGGUAUAGUGGUACCAGAGGUUGUACUUUCUGUUGUUGUCUCAGUUGUGAUGCUGUCUGUUGUUAUUGUUGUUUCUGCUGUUGUACUUUCUGGUGUUGUGGUACCGGAGGUUGUACUUUCUGUUGUUGUCUCAGUUGUGGUGCUUUCAGUUGUUGUUGAAGUUUCUGCUGUUGUACUUUCUAAAGUUGUGGUACCGGUG
ensembl:lncRNA